CCCCUCUCAGGGUCGCACCUGGAGAGUUUCCAGUACUCUACCAGUCUUGGUUAGGGAAGGGAGAAUCAAGCAGCGGGAUACCUAUUCCAUUCCUAGCUUGGCCAGUGGCGUGUGAGUGGAAGGUAAUCUGCUACAAGU